UUGGCUAUCUCAUUUUCUCUCUUCCUUCACCACGGCUACCAUCACCGUUGCCACCACCGCUAGUACUUGCGACUAGUACCACCACCACCUAGCCACUAGUACUCCCUCGCUCGCCCCACCGCCACGUCGACUUUCACUGACUAGCCACCACCAUCUCCCCCGCCGCUGCCAAGCCAUCACCGCCACCACCACCAACACUGGCCACAACCACUACCUCAACCACUACUCCGUCCCCAUCUCCACUACCUCGUAGUCACCACUACUACCACCAUCAUUGCAUUGCCACCGCCACCAUCACCACCACUAUCGCACCACACAACAAAAUAUUGUAAAUUCAAAUUAAUACAAUCAAAGAUCCCUAAAUAGCAAAUGACAGUUGACCAAAUUACCAUUUAAACAUUUUUAUAUACAAAAAAAAAACUAUUUUUAUAAAAAUAAAAACAACAGCAAUCACUCUACUCCCACACGUGUCGGCAUCCAACACGAAUCAAUCUUAAAGACGAAAUACUAAGCAGAUAACUAUACUUUGUCACUUUAAAAAUGACUAUUAAUUCUCAACUUUUCACAUAGCAAAAAAUGGGCAAGUUCUCAUGUCUUCAAGCAAAUCAAAAGCAGAGUAAGAGAGAGGAAAUUACAAAAUACUUUUAUAGUGAGAGAAAACACCAAUCAUGGUGGCCACAACCACAAAAUUGACCAGUAUUGAGCUACCCAUUGCUCUAAAGAGUGGGUUGUUGGUGUCUAGAUUGGGCACAUAUAUGUAGAAAGAGAGCCUCAAUGCCAUUGCUAGGAAGAGUUGUGUGUUGCACAAAACAUAGGAGCAGUAGAAAAUCUUGAACUCUACAGGGCUUUGCUCAUGAGCUGGAGUGAUCAAUCCCCAUUUCAAUGUCAUACCAAUGAAAAUAGGCAGGAGAAUGGGCCCAAGGAUGCCCACCACUCUGAGUUCAACUAUAGUUUUUAAAACAAUAAAUAAAAAAAUAAAACCACCAUUAGAGAGACUGAACUUUAUAAUUUCCAAAGCAAUCAAAAGGAAAAUUCCUCAUGGGUUAAGAAACAAUCUAAACAAAAACCCCACCAUAUAUAUAUCUAUAUAGAGUCCACUAUAUUUUCCAAAGAAAUAGAAAGAAAAACUCCACAUGGUCAAGAGAGAGAUUCACUAUAAUUUACAGAGAGAGACCACUAUAAUUUCCAAAGAAAUCAAAAGGAAAAAUUCCACAUGGGUUAAAAACACCAACAUUAGAGAGAGAGGCCCCUAUAUUUUUCAAAGAAAUAAGAAGGAAAACUCCACAUGGUUGAGAGAGAGAGAGAUUCACUAUGAUUUCCAGAGAAAUUAAAGGAAAAAGUGAUGGGUAAGAGAGAGAGAGAGAGAGUAAUUACCAGGCAUUGAUGGGUCAUCUGCUGGUGGUGUGGGACGCCUACCAACUCUACGGCUGUUAAAAGUCGAAGGGGAGAGAGUGAGAGAGAGAGAGAGAGAGAGAGAGAGAGAGAGAGGGC
rnacentral:lncRNA from 1 species